rnacentral:rRNA from 1 species
UACGUAGGGUGCAAGCGUUGUCCGGAUUUAUUGGGCGUAAAGAGCUCGUAGGCGGUUUAGUAAGUUGGGUGUGAAAACCCAUGGCUCAACCGUGGGCUUGCAGCCGAUACGGGCAGGCUAGAGUUCGGUAGGGGAGACUGGAAUUCCUGGUGUAGCGGUGAAAUGCGCAGAUAUCAGGAGGAACACCGGUGGCGAAGGCGGGUCUCUGGGCCGAUACUGACGCUGAGGAGCGAAAGCGUGGGGAGCGAACAGG